rnacentral:rRNA from 1 species
UACGGAGGGAGCUAGCGUUGUUCGGAAUUACUGGGCGUAAAGCGCGCGUAGGCGGCUUUGCAAGUUAGAGGUGAAAGCCCGGAGCUCAACUUCGGAAUUGCCUUUAAAACUGCAUCGCUUGAAUCCGGGAGAGGUGAGUGGAAUUCCGAGUGUAGAGGUGAAAUUCGUAGAUAUUCGGAAGAACACCAGUGGCGAAGGCGGCUCACUGGCCCGGUACUGACGCUGAGGCACGAAAGCGUGGGGAGCAAACAGG